rnacentral:rRNA from 2 species
UAAGCGGAGGAAAAGAAACUAACAAGGAUUCCCUUAGUAACGGCGAGUGAACCGGGAAAAGCUCAAAUUUGUAAUCUGGCUGUCUUCGAUAGUCCGAGUUGUAAUCUAUAGACGUGUUUUCCGUGCUGGACCGUAUCUAAGUCCCUUGGAACAGGGUAUCAAAGAGGGUGACAAUCCCGUGCUUGAUACGACCACCAGUGCUCUGUGAUACACGUUCUACGAGUCGAGUUGUUUGGGAAUGCAGCUCAAAAUGGGUGGUAAAUUCCAUCUAAAGCUAAAUAUUGGCGAGAGACCGAUAGCGAACAAGUACCGUGAGGGAAAGAUGAAAAGCACUUUGGAAAGAGAGUUAAACAGUACGUGAAAUUGUUGAAAGGGAAACGAUUGAAGUCAGUCGUGUUCUUUGGAUUCAGCUAGUUCUUCUAGUCUACUUCCAUUGAACGGGUCAACAUCAGUUUUGUCCGGUGGAUAAAGGUAUUAGGAAUGUAGCUCCCUCGGGAGUGUUAUAGACUAGUAUUGCAUACACUGGGUGAGACUGAGGACUGCAGCUCGCCUUUUGGCCGGCCUUCGGGUACGUUCGAGCUUAGGAUGUUGACAUAAUGGCUUUAAACGACCCGUCUUGAAACACG